rnacentral:ribozyme from 1 species
ACUUUCAUCUACAGAGUAUACUACAUAGCUUCAACACAGACAUACAGGGCAUAGCAGGAUCAUAACACAUUGGCCCUCUAUAGUCUCAAACCCGCCCCUGCCCCCUGCUCCCUCCUCCUCACC